AUUGAACGCUGGCGGCAGGCCUAACACAUGCAAGUCGAACGAGUGGCGGACGGGUGAGUAAUGUAUGGGAACCUGCCUGAUGGAGGGGUAUAACUACUGGAAACGUUAGCUAAUACCGCAUACCAUCGGAUGUGCCCAGAUGGGAUUAGCUAGUAGGUGGGGUAAAGGCUCACCUAGGCGACGAGCCCUAGCUGGUCUGAGAGGAUGACCAGCCAAACUGGAACUGAGACACGGUCCAGACUCCUACGGGAGGCAGCAGUGGGGAAUAUUGCACAAUGGGCGCAAGCCUGACGCAGCCAUGCCGCGUGUAUGAAGAAGGCCUUCGGGUUGUAAAGUACUUUCAGCGGGGAGGCGUUACCCGCAGAAGAAGCACCGGCUAACUCCGUGCCAGCAGCCGCGGUAAUUC
rnacentral:rRNA from 1 species